UCCACACCCCUGGAGGAGGAGGUUACGGUACAGAGGAGGAGGAGGAGAAGCAGCAGCUCAUCCUCUAAGCGGCGCUGUUUAACCCGAGUGUUCGCCGAGAGAGGGAGUGUGUACGAGUAUCGCCGCCGAGCUCAGGAGAGCGUCUGACCACCGUGCUCCUAAAAAUCAACUCUCCUUCCUCUGUUUAUCUCUCAACGCCGUUCCAGAUAUGUGUCUGUCUCACACACAUUAACAACACACACACACACAAGCAGAACAGUCAGUGUGAAGACCAGUUCAGUCGGAAUUUCCGACAAGGAAAAACCCUGAGAAAACGCCUCCUCAACUCAGAACGGUCUCCUGAACCCCCCGAGUCCAGCAAGUGACGUCAAAUCAAAAUGGCCGCUCACAGCAUCAACAGUAAAUAAAGUAGCACUUCUUACCUUUAAAUAAGUUAUACUGUAUAUACACAUAUUCACUUUAGAUUCAAUCAACAUACACACACAUUCACUCAUUAAAUCUAUAACACUGACUCUACAGCUCACUGUCCUGAGGAAAAUAUAUAAAUAUAAAUAUAGAAAUAUCACUCAUCACCGCUAGCUGCUUAGCUCGCUUCUGACAUCAGACAAACCUGGAGGCGGCCACGUUUUGUUCCCCACUUUAUAGCUUGAACAAACAGAGGUCGAAAAUUACGUCAUUCCGAGUUUGCGACUUCCUGAUUGCGAGGUAAGUGAAAUGCAGCGUAAGUUCUGUUCGUCUCGGAGAUUGGGCGACAUCAUCACUACCUGAUCUGCAUCUCCUGCCUGAUUUGCACCUCACACACACGGAUUAGGUGACCACAGCGCCGCCCGCAGUGCCGGAGCACUCGCACGCAACGAGGAAGCGAUUAAAUGUAACCGUAAAUGGAUAAAAAGAAAUGUGUCCACUGUACGGCUCACUCCAGUGUAAACCAGUGCGAUUCUGUUACUCAGUCAUUUUAAAACAUUAUUAAAAUGAUAAAAUGAAGACGGCCUCACUGUGUCUUUUUUUUUUUUUUUUUAAUAAUAAUAAUGAAAGUGUUCGUCUUUGCUUUUAAUAGCUAAACUUUUUAAGAAAUUAUAUUUAAUAUAUGAAAAACUCAAAUAAAUAUGAAGCGGUCGUCAAGGUGUUUAACAGGCGAUAAUUUAAGACUAAAGUUAACUAAAAAAUGUAAAUGAAUACGUAAAUAAAAAUAAAUAUAAAAAAACUACAUUAAAUAGUUUAAUCUUAAAAAGUUAAACACUAAUAAAUACAUAUAAAGUGGUUUUGAUAUGUAAACACCGAUAUCUAAAAAAGAUCAAUCAUUUUUAAAUUAAUAAAGAAAUGUAAAGUGGAUGUCACUGUUUUAAAUAAAAAUGAAUUUUUUAAAAUCUGUUUUUAAUUGGUAGAAAUCAUUUUUAAAAAUCUUUAAAAAUGAAAAAUAAAUAAAUUUGGUCAUCACUGCUUAUUCUGGAUACAAAAAAAUGAAAAUAAAACGCACAAUAUAUAAAAUCUAAAGUAUUAUUAAAUUAUACCACUGAAGCCAUUAAUGAAUUAAAGAACCUAAAUGUAAAUGUUUCUGUCAUGUUGUGUCUCUGUGCGUUGUGUUUAAAGGUGUAUUUCUGCAUUAGUCUGGGAUCAGGGCAGUGACUAAAGCCAGAGCGCUGAAGCAUCACGGAUUCCCGAGUGUGAUAAGAGCAGCAGGGAGUCGAGCUAACGCUCAGCAUCAGCACAGAGAAACGCCGUGCGAAUAAAUUACGAGUCUGAGAGCAGCACGUUGCUUCGAGAUGAGCAGCUACAGUGACAGAGUGAAGAUCAUGAUGCCGGAGUAUCGUAUCGUAUCGUUAUCGUCCUGCUUGAACAUGCAGCCCUUUUACGGCGACGUGCUGCAAGUGGAGAUGAGGUUUAUCUCUGUAAAGAAGAGCAGGGCCGGGAGGAAAGAGGACGGAGGGGUGUAAAACAGAGAGACAGGAGAGAGAGACACAGCAGGAGGUCGAGUGAGACACAGCAGAAGGAAGACAGCUCACAGAUCAAAGACUCCAAACCAUAUCAGCGUUUUCAGAGAUUAAAGUGAUACACUACUAGAUAUCAGCUUCCUAUUAGACGAAGAGUGCACUAUAUAGGGUUUAGGGGCUGUUAUUAGUUCCCUUUUAGACAUACAGUGCACUAUAUAGAGCAUAGGCUUUGUUACUGGCUGCUUAUUAGACAUUUGUAUUACACAUUAUGGUCAGUAAUUGCUCGGUAUAAGACAGAUAGUGCACUAGAUCGGGUGAAGACACCACUGAUGGCAGACUAUUUGAUAAAUAGUACACUAAGUAGGAUGUAUAGAACACUACUAUCAGACAUAUAGUGCACUAGUUACAGUGUAGAAUUCAUUAAGGGCUCAAUAUGAGUGUCAUAGUACACUAGGCAGGGUGCAAAGGCUAUUACUAUAAGGUAAAUAUCACACUAGUUAAAUUGUAGAGCCGCUUAUUUGCUCAGUAUGACAUAUAUUGGACAUACAGUAUAGUGCACUAUGUGUAGAGGCCAUUAUUUGUGGCCUAUUGGAUAAAUAGUGCACUAGAUAGUAUGUAGAGGCCAUUACUGGUGGCCUAUUGGACAUAAAGUUCACUAGGUAGGGUGUAGAGGCCAUUACUAGUGGUCUAUAGGACAUAAAGUUCACUAGGUAGGGUGUAGAGGCCAUUACUAGUCGUCUAUAGGACAUAUAGUGCACUAGAUAGGGUGCAGAUGCCAGUAAUGGUGGCCUAUUGGACAUAUAGUGCACUAGAUAGUGUGCAGUGGCCAUUACUAGUGGCCUAUUGGACAUAUGGUGCACUAGAUAGGGUGCAGAUGCCAGUAUUGGUGGCCUAUUGGACAUAUAGUGCACUAGAUAGUGUGCAGUGGCCAUUACUAGUGGUCUAUUGGACAUAUAGGGCACUAGAUAGUGUGCAGUGGCCAUUACUAGUGGCCUAUUGGACAUAUAGUGCACUAGAUAGUGUGCAGUGGCCAUUACUAGUGGCCUAUUGGACAUAUAGUGCACUAGAUAGGGUGCAGAUGACAUUACUAGUGGCUUAUUGGACAUAUGGUGCACUAGGUAGGGUGCAUAUGCCAGUAAUGGUGGCCUAUUGGACAUACAGUAUAGUGCACUAGAUAGGGUGCAGAUGCCAAUACUGUACUGUAUUUGAUAAAUAGUACACUAAGUAGGAUGUUACUGUCAGACAUAGUGCACUAGUUACAGUGUAGAAUUCAUUAAGGGCUCAAUAGGAGUGUCAUCGUACACUAGGUAGGGUGAAAAGACCAUUACUAUCGGGUAAAUAGCACACUAGUUAAACUGUAGAGCCAAUUAAUUGCUCAGUAUGACAUAUAUUGGACAUACAGUAUAGUGCACAAUGUGUAGAGGCCAUUAUUUGUGGUCUGUUGGAUAAAUAGUGCACUAGAUAGGGAAUAGGGGCCAUUAAUUAUGGCCUAUUGGAUAUAUAGUGCACGAGAUAGUAUGUAGAGGCCAUUACUGGUGACCUAUAGGACAUACACAGAUCAGCCAUAACAUUAAAACCACCUGCCUAAUAUUGUAUAGAUCCCCCUUGUGCCACCAAAACAGCUCUGACCCACCGAGGCAUGGACUCCACAAGACCUCUGAAGAUGUGCUGUGGUAUCUGGCACCAAGAGGUUGGAAGCAGAUCCUCCAUGGAUCAGACUUUUGCUCAAUCAGAUUGAGUUCUGAGGAAUUUGGAGGCCAAGUCAACACCUUGAAGUCUUUGACAUGUUCCUCAAACCAUUCCUGAACAAUUUUUGCAGUGUGUCAGGGAGCAUCAAUAUUUGCAGCAAUAUUUAGGUAGGUGGUACGUGUCAAAGUAACAUCCACAUGAAUGCCAGGAUCCAAGGUUUCCCAGCAGAACAUUGCCCAGAGCAUUGGGGUGGUUUUAAUAUUAUGGCUGAUUGGUGUAUAGUGCACUACAUAGGGUGUAGACGCCAUUAAUGGUGACCUUUUGGGGUUCAUUAGAUGGAGCGUAGAGAUAUCAAACAUACACCACAUUAGAUUUAGUGCACUACCGAGGGGAUUAUUAGCGGUACUUUCACUAUGCGUGUUUCCCCAAGUCAUUAUUUAUAGUGUUCUACGGUUACAGAAACUAUUCCGUAAUACUAUUUCAGAUUAAACACUAUGCUAUUCAGACUGAUGUCCUGACAUCAUCACAGCUCUUUUCACAUGCUGUGUAAACACCUUCACAACCACCCAAACUGUAAAGUGACGGUCUCAAAUACAAACGUUCCCCCGACACCCCGAGUGGAGUCCAUCAGUCGGGACAUGUCCGAGGUGUGAAGAUCGUAUCUUCCAUUACUUCAGAUACAAAACAUGCCUUGGCUGAUGGACUACAUUUAGGGUAAAAGGUACACUGUGGACAUUUGAUUUCUCACCACAGCACUGCUGAAUUCUGGAUCCUGAUUGGUCAGAAGCUCUGACAGUAGUGCAUUUCUCUAGCAACAGCUCAUUCACAGCGACUCGUACACUCCAUAAACAGAUUCAAAAAUGGCUAAUUCUUGCUAUUUUUGAAGGAGAUGUUUAUUUAACAUUUAUGGAAGGAGUCUCCAGUGUCAGUGCUUUGUAACAGUCAGAGGUAAAGCGGUAACAUCUUUUUUUUUUUUUUUUGUCUUAUUAAUUUCAAGAUAGAGAGAAAAAAAAAAGAGAGGCUGGUGAGGGAACGACUCUUUAUAGCUUUACAGAAACUUAUUUUGUGUAAGGUCCACAGUGUAACUAUAAAUGGAUUAAAAAGUACAAUGUGUCAUUUUUUAAUCAUUUUUAAAAAAUCAUUGGCAAAUUGCAGUGAUCUAAGAGGUGUAAAGACUUGAACAUCAAUAUGCCAGCUUUCAUACUUUAUACAUUCACAGUCACAUGAGAAGGUAAAAAAAAAAACAGUAUGGAAAUGUUUAAAAUGCAAAUGUCAGACAA